rnacentral:rRNA from 1 species
AAUAGAUACCCAGGUAGUCCACGCCGUAAACGAUGAGUGCUAAGUGUUAGAGGGUUUCCGGCCCUUUAGUGCUGAAGUUAACGCAUUAAGCACUCCGCCUGGGGGAGUACGGCCGCAAGGCUGAAACUCAAAGGAAUUGACGGGGGGCCCGCACAAGCGGUGGAGCAUGUGGUUUAAUUCGAAGCAACACGAAGAACCUUACCAGGUCUUGACAUCCCCUGACAACCCUAGAGAUAGGGCUUCUCCUUCGGGAGCAGAGUGACAGGUGGUGCAUGGUUGUCGUCAGCUCGUGUCGUGAGAUGUUGGGUUAAGUCCCGCAACGAGCGCAACCCUUGAUCUUAGUUGCCAUCAUUAAGUUGGGCACUCUAAGGUGACUGCCGGUGACAAACCGGAGGAAGGUGGGGAUGACGUCAAAUCAUCAUGCCCCUUAUGACCUGGGCUACACACGUGCUACAAUGGACGGUACAAAGAGCUGCAAGACCGCGAGGUGGAGCUAAUCUCAUAAAACCGUUCUCAGUUCGGA